GAUUGUAAAACUUAAUAUAACUCUGAGUAUCAAAAUGAACAGGUUUUCAAUUAAAACUUCCAGUGCAGUAUGAUCAGAAGUGAAAUAAAGCCAACAGCUCUUUUGGAGGAGAACUGCAUAGGUAUAACAGGGGUUUGUGCAAGGAUUGGUUCAGUGGAAAGGGAACUCAGUCCAUUUUCUUGCAAAUGCUGGUGCAUCCUUUAGCUCUGCAUUCAGCUACUGCUCUUGUUUGUAGGUAUGGCAUCACUAUCCUCUUUGGCUUUCCCAGUAGGAGUGAUACAGUGCUGCUUGCUUAGGAGGAAAAGUACAGUCCAUAUUCUCAAGUACCUGGAGAGAGGUACUGGAAGGAGCAUAGAGCAUUCCCGCACACAGCACAUAUCCACGCUAUAGGAGCAUGCAAAAACCAGACAAAAGAUAUCAUUCAGGCUUCAGAAAUGAAGUAAGAAGCAACCACAUCAACUACAACAGAAUCCAGACUAGCUAGCAGAUGAGGGAGUGCUGACUUACUGAGGUAUGCUGAGUAGGUAGCCAACAAUAUUAGUCUAGCAUACUAUGAAUGCCUACAAUACUCAUCCCAGUCUUUUUGCUUCAGAUUUUGAAGAAGUGUGGGAUAUCUGCCGAUGAACUGAAACACAGUAUAGCUUUGGAGCUUAGAGGGAAAACCUAUGGUAAGCUGGCAUUCUGGGGGAAAAGCUCACUACAUUCCCAUUUUGUUACUCUGUCUUCCAGGCCAGGUUGGAUGGGGCUUGGAGCAACCUGCUCUAGUGGAAGGUGUCCCUGCCCGUGGCAGGGAGUUGGAGCUGGAUGAGCUUUAACGUCCCUUCCAACACAAAGCAUUCUAGGACUCUGUGAUUCUCCUACAGCCCGAUCAAUGGCUGAACUGGCUGUUGGGUCACAGUCCCAGGCAAGAUGAAAGCAUGAACAGCAUGGACUUAUACACGGGUUGCCAGGGGCCAAGACUGUGCCCGUCAUCCUUUCUCUUGGUGGAGAGAGAGUUUAAAUGCUUAAGCCCUGAAACUUAAGACAUCAGCAUCAAACCUCCCAAGAAACUUGUGCAUGUUCCCCGGAACAUAUUCCAUGAUCACUCUGUGCUGUCAGAGACCUUUGAUGAAGGCAGAACACAGCACCCAGACUUUGCAUGAGGCUUUUAACAUGUUUACUCUUUACUCAGAAGGUGCACCAGAAAGAAGAUAAGAUGAAGAAAGAAGACAACUGAUAUUCCUGUCACUCCGUUUCCUCACUGCACUGAAGCAGAGCUGGGACUGUGCUGAGCAUCUUCCAGGUUUCUACAAUUCCUUUAAUCUCAGCCUUCCUUCAGAAGUUUCUCUUUCUGCUACUCCUAAAUAUCACUUUAUUUUGACAUCAUUCUGUCCUACAGUUACACUGGAUCUUUCUGCUACAAAGCCUGCUUGUCUCCACCCCUGUGGUACUCACAGCUUUCUGUGAGCUUCAGUGAGUCUGCUUGGGUUCCCUCACCACUAGUGGAAACUGUGUGUCCUUGAGCAACUUACUGAGCCUCUGCCUCGGUUCCCCAUUCUGGAAAAGGGGAAUUGGUAUUUCAUGUCCCCCACCUUUGGUCUUGACCUGUGUUUCAGUUAUAAGAAAAGGUAGGCUUUCAUAC